rnacentral:rRNA from 1 species
CGUCACACUAUCGUUAACUGAAUACAUAGGUUAACGAGGCGAACCGGGGGAACUGAAACAUCUAAGUACCCCGAGGAAAAGAAAUCAACCGAGAUUCCCCCAGUAGCGGCGAGCGAACGGGGAGCAGCCCGGAGUCUGAAUCAGCUUGUGUGUUAGUGGAAGCGUCUGGAAAGUCGCACGGUACAGGGUGACAGUCCCGUACACGAAAAUGCACAGGUUGUGAACUCGAAGAGUAGGGCGGGACACGUGGUAUCCUGUCUGAAUAUGGGGGGACCAUCCUCCAAGGCUAAAUACUCCUGACUGACCGAUAGUGAACCAGUACCGUGAGGGAAAGGCGAAAAGAACCCCGGCGAGGGGAGUGAAAAAGAACCUGAAACCGUGUACGUACAAGCAGUGGGAGCACCUUCGUGGUGUGACUGCGUACCUUUUGUAUAAUGGGUCAGCGACUUAUAUUCUGUAGCAAGGUUAACCGUAUAGGGGAGCCGAAGGGAAACCGAGUCUUAACUGGGCGUUAAGUUGCAGGGUAUAGACCCGAAACCCGGUGAUCUAGCCAUGGGCAGGUUGAAGGUUGGGUAACACUAACUGGAGGACCGAACCGACUAAUGUUGAAAAAUUAGCGGAUGACCUGUGGCUGGGGGUGAAAGGCCAAUCAAACCGGGAGAUAGCUGGUUCUCCCCGAAAGCUAUUUAGGUAGCGCCUCGUGAA